rnacentral:tRNA from 1 species
UGGAGCGGUGUCCGAGCGGUUGAAGGAGAUGGUUUCGAAAACCAUUGAGCUCGUAAGGGUUCCGGGGGUUCGAAUCCCCCCUGCUCCGA